rnacentral:rRNA from 1 species
UUGUCCUACGGGGGGCAGCAGUGGGGAAUAUUGGACAAUGGGGGGAACCCUGAUCCAGCGACGCCGCGUGAGUGAAGAAGUAUUUCGGUAUGUAAAGCUCUAUCAGCAGGGAAGAAAGAAAUGACGGUACCUGACUAAGAAGCCCCGGCUAACUACGUGCCAGCAGCCGCGGUAAUACGUAGGGGGCAAGCGUUAUCCGGAUUUACUGGGUGUAAAGGGAGCGUAGACGGCGAUGCAAGUCUGAAGUGAAAGGCGGGGGCCCAACCCCCGGACUGCUCUUGGAACUGCGUGGCUGGAGUGCAGGG